rnacentral:lncRNA from 1 species
AGGACUUUAUUCUGCUGAUCCCAGUGAGAUAACUGGCCUGAAAAUUAGAUCCAAAGUCUUGUUUAAUUGCAUACAAAAGACAAGAAGACAACCUGGCUGAUGUAGCAUGGGACUCUCCUUAACAGUGUUAUGGAUUUUACAGCAUGGCAGUAGUUUGGGCUGUUCCUGUGCAUCUCAGUUCUGCUUUAAGGCAGCUGAUCUUCCCAAAGAAUCCUUGUUGAAUUGACCCCACACGCUGUACACGGAGAAAAGAUGCAAAAAGCCAC